rnacentral:lncRNA from 10 species
UGCAUAUGUAACUAUAUGAAUGCCAUUUUCUAUCCUUAAAUUAUAGAAAUUAGUAUAUGAUGAGUAAAUUUAUUUGCUUUGUAUUCUGAAAUAAUUUUGAUGUUGAGUGGAAAUAUGAAAUUUUAAUCGGUAUUUCCAAAGAAAACAAAUAGAAUUGUGUUGAGGAAAAUUUCCCCCAAAGUUUGUGCUCAACAUUUUGUACAUAGACACAAAAUUAUGAGUAAAAAUUAUGGAGUUUUUGCUUAAUAUGUACUGAAUAGAAAGAAUUCACUGUAAAUGCAGGGCACUGGAAUGAAUUUCCAAAAUAGUUGUUCAUUCCUUUAUUCAUUCUCUAAUGCAGUAAAUAUUUACUGAGUGCUUAUUAUAUGAAACUCUCAGAUUCUAAGGAAAAAGAGACACUCAAUAGAGAAGAAAUUCUUCUUUUUAUAGGGUUUAUGGUGAAAAUCUGAAUGUCUUAAAUGAAGAUUAAGUCAAAUAUAAAGAUACAGCUAAUCAGCCAGCAUGGUGGUGCACAUCUGUAGUCCCAGUUACUUGGGAGGGGCUGAGGUGGGACAAUCGCUUGAGCCCGGGAAGUUGAGGCUGCAGUCAGCCCUGAUCACACCACUGCACUCCAGCCUGUGACAAGAGUAAGCCCCUGUCUCCAAAAAAUAAAUAAUCAAAUCAAAUGAAGCCAAAUCAAAUAAAGAUGUAGCUAAGAGGAAGAGCUUUAAGAAAACAUAACUUCAAUAUAAAACCAAGAAGACACGCAGAUAUAUUUAGUAUUAUAUCAAAA